GGAUGCGAGGGCGAUCUGGCUGUGACAUCUGUCACCCCAUUGAUCGCCAGGGUUGAUUUGGCUGAUCUGGCUGUCUAGGCGGGUGUCCCCUUCCUCCCUCACCGCUCCAUGUGCAUCCCUCCCGAAGCUGUGUGCUUGGUCGAAGAGGACGGCCUUCCCCGAAUAGAGACGGACCGGUCUUCGGUCAAGGGUAUACGAGUAGCUGCGCUCCCCUGCUAGAACCUCCAAACAAGCUCUCAAGGUCCAUUUGAUUUUAUCUGGUCUGGGGCCCAUAUUCAGCUUAGGAGUCUAUGUAACCUCUGCAAUCCUACAGAU
ensembl:misc_RNA 7SK 7SK RNA